rnacentral:tRNA from 1 species
AAACCCAUCCGGGGGGCUUAAGGGGUGUUGGGCCUGCCUGAAGUGGGCCGGUAGCUCAGCCUGGGAGAGCGCCGGCUUUGCAAGCCGGAGGCCCCGGGUUCAAAUCCCGGCCGGUCCACCACGAAGAGGUGCACAUCCUGAGCAAAGCUCAGGGUGGAAGGGUCCUAGGCCCCGAAAUAGGGG